GAGGAAUAUUGGUCAAUGGGCGGAAGCCUGAACCAGCCAUGCCGCGUGCAGGAAGGAGGCCCUACGGGUUGUAAACUGCUUUUACCCGGGAAGAAACCGCCCCCUGUGGGGGGCGUUGCCGGUACCGGGGGAAAAAGGAUCGGCUAACUCCGUGCCAGCAGCCGCGGUAAUACGGAGGAUCCGGGCGUUAUCCGGAAUUACUGGGUUUAAAGGGUGCGUAGGCGGGGCUUUAAGCCGGCGGUGAAAUGCAGCGGCUCAACCGCUGGAAUGCCGUUGGGACUGGGGCUCUUGGAUACGGUCGGGGCGGGUGGAACUCGUGGUGUAGCGGUGAAAUGCAUAGAUAUCACGAGGAACGCCGGUAGCGAAGGCAGCUCGCCGGGCCGGUAUUGACGCUGAGGCACGAAAGCGUGGGGAUCGAAC
rnacentral:rRNA from 1 species